UACGAAGGGGGCUAGCGUUGUUCGGAAUUACUGGGCGUAAAGGGCGCGUAGGCGGCCUGUUUAGUCAGAAGUGAAAGCCCCGGGCUCAACCUGGGAACCGCUUUUGAUACUGGCAGGCUUGAGUUCCGGAGAGGAUGGUGGAAUUCCCAGUGUAGAGGUGAAAUUCGUGGAUAUUGGGAAGAACACCGGUGGCGAAGGCGGCAUCCUGGACCGGUAUUGACGCUGAGGCGCGAAAGCCAGGGGAGCAAACGGG
rnacentral:rRNA from 1 species